AAAUAUUACAAAAAAUGAUUUGUUUUUGCACUUAAAUCCGGACUGUGGGUUAAUUUCGGAAAAAUACAGGGUGGUUUAUGUAAAACGCGCGAAGUCAUGUGCACUUAGCAAAACAGUCAGCAGAACUUGGAAAAACAGGUUCAGAAGGCCAUCUAAGAUCACUUGCUGUAUACAAGAGUUGGUUGCAGAAUAGGAAGAUUGAAGAUCCGAGAGAGACAGAGAGAGAACCCAGCGUGGAAGAGAAGAAGCCACCGCCUUGUGAAAUCUAUGAAUCCGCUUCCAGUUGCUUGCAUCAACUCUUUGUAGUUGACUGCGGCUCCCGCUGCUCCAGACCCAUUAUACCAUCCCAAGUUAUGGAAUGUGUGAGACGAAAGGCCUGAACAUAAACAUCCAUGCCUCCUUGAAACCUGCUUACCUGCAAGUUGGUGCCAUGUUGAGUCUGAGAAAUUAUGAAUAAAUUUCAGAAUCGGUGCUCAUCCGAUGCAAGAUGCAACUGGUAGGAUGACGAAAGAAAUUUAUGCCGCUCACCGAUAGAUUGUUUCAUAUGUCUGCCUAAGCUGAUGCCCAUGCCUCCUUCAGGUGAACUACAAAAUUACGACAACAAUUAACAGAUAACAUCCAUGGUCGAUGAUUCGAACUAGCAUGUCUACAAGCCAAC
rnacentral:lncRNA from 1 species